UACGUAGGUGGCAAGCGUUGUCCGGAUUUAUUGGGUUUAAAGGGUGCGUAGGCGGCUUUGUAAGUCAGUGGUGAAAUAUUACAGCUCAACUGUGAGGGUGCCAUUGAUACUGCAGAGCUUGAGUACAGAUGAGGUAGGCGGAAUUGACGGUGUAGCGGUGAAAUGCUUAGAUAUCGUCAAGAACACCUAUAGCGAAGGCAGCUUACUAGGCUGUAACUGACGCUGAGGCACGAAAGUGUGGGGAUCAAACAGG
rnacentral:rRNA from 1 species